rnacentral:lncRNA from 1 species
AUGCCGAAGCCGAGCGCUUCCAAGGCGACAGGGAAGACCUGCAGGUUCAUCAGUGGUGUGGUGGAAGGCUUUUACGGGCGACCAUGGACUAUGAACAGAGGACUGAGCUUUUCCAAAGGGAACUUAUUAUCCACCUUGUUCCUUUCACUGAUCCAGUCCUUACAGGAAGUUGUUCCUUUCACCGAUCCAGUCCUUACAGGAAGUUGUUCUUUUCACCGAUCCAGUCCUUACAGGAAGUUGUUCCUUUCACCGAUCCAGCCCUUACAGGAAGUUGUUCCUUUCACCGAUCCCAGCCCUUACAGGAAGUUGUUCCUUUCACCGAUCCAGCCCUACAGGAAGUUGUUCCUUUCACCGAUCC